CCUACGGGUGGCUGCAGUGGGGAAUAUUGGACAAUGGGGCAACCCUGAUCCAGCCAUGCCGCGUGUGUGAAGAAGGCCCUCGGGUUGUAAAGCACUUUCAGUGAGGAAGAACGCCUGGUGGUUAAUACCCAUCAGGAAAGACAUCACUCACAGAAGAAGCACCGGCUAACUCCGUGCCAGCAGCCGCGGUAAUACGGAGGGUGCGAGCGUUAAUCGGAAUUACUGGGCGUAAAGCGCGCGUAGGUGGCUUGAUAAGCCGGUUGUGAAAGCCCCGGGCUCAACCUGGGAACGGCAUCCGGAACUGUCAAGCUAGAGUGCAGGAGAGGAAGGUAGAAUUCCCGGUGUAGCGGUGAAAUGCGUAGAGAUCGGGAGGAAUACCAGUGGCGAAGGCGGCCUUCUGGACUGACACUGACACUGAGGUGCGAAAGCGUGGGUAGCAAACAGGAUUAGAUACCCCGGUAGUC
rnacentral:rRNA from 1 species